GACGAACGCUGGCGGCGUGCCUAAUACAUGCAAGUCGAACGAACGGAUUGAGGAGCUUGCUCUUCAUGAAGUUAGUGGCGGACGGGUGAGUAACACGUGGGUAACCUGCCCUUCAGUGGGGGAUAACAUCCGGAAACGGGUGCUAAUACCGCAUAGUUUCUUUUUCCGCCUGGAAGAAGAAGGAAAGAUGGCCUUUGCGCUAUCACUGAGGGAUGGACCCGCGGCGUAUUAGUUAGUUGGUGGGGUAAUGGCCUACCAAGACGAUGAUACGUAGCCGACCUGAGAGGGUGAUCGGCCACACUGGAACUGAGACACGGUCCAG
rnacentral:rRNA from 1 species